UGCGUAGGGUGCGAGCGUUGUCCGGAAUUAUUGGGCGUAAAGAGCUCGUAGGCGGUGUGUCACGUCGGCCGUGAAAACCUGCAGCUUAACUGUGGGCGUGCGGUCGAUACGGGCAUCACUGGAGUUCGGCAGGGGAGACUGGAAUUCCUGGUGUAGCGGUGAAAUGCGCAGAUAUCAGGAGGAACACCGGUGGCGAAGGCGGGUCUCUGGGCCGAUACUGACGCUGAGGAGCGAAAGCGUGGGGAGCGAACAGG
rnacentral:rRNA from 1 species